AUUGAACGCUGGCGGCAUGCCUUACACAUGCAAGUCGAACGGUAACGCGGGGCAACCUGGCGGCGAGUGGCGAACGGGUGAGUAAUGCAUCGGAACGUGCCCAGUAGUGGGGGAUAGCCCGGCGAAAGCCGGAUUAAUACCGCAUACGACCUGCGGGUGAAAGGGGGGGAUCGCAAGACCUCUCGCUAUUGGAGCGGCCGAUGUCAGAUUAGGUAGUUGGUGGGGUAAAGGCCUACCAAGCCGACGAUCUGUAGCUGGUCUGAGAGGACGACCAGCCACACUGGGACUGGGACACGGCCCAGAGUCCUACGGGAGGCGGCAGUGGGGAAGUUUGGGCAAUGGGCGCAAGCCUGAUCCAGCCAUGCCGCGUGCGGGAAGAAGGCCUUCGGGUUGUAAACCGCUUUUGUCAGGGAAGAAAUCUUCUGAGUUAAUAUCUCGGGAGGAUGACGGUACCUGAAGAAUAAGCACCGGCUAACUACGUGCCAGCAGCCGCGGUAAGAC
rnacentral:rRNA from 1 species